rnacentral:rRNA from 1 species
ACGAACGCUGGCGGCGUGCCUAAUACAUGCAAGUAGAACGCUGAAGGAGGAGCUUGCUUCUCUGGAUGAGUUGCGAACGGGUGAGUAACGCGUAGGUAACCUGCCUGGUAGUGGGGGAUAACUAUUGGAAACGAUAGCUAAUACCGCAUAAUAGCAGUUGUUGCAUGAUAACUGUUUGAAAGGUGCAAUUGCACCGCUACCAGAUGGACCUGCGUUGUAUUAGCUAGUUGGUGGGGUAACGGCUCACCAAGGCGACGAUACAUAGCCGACCUGAGAGGGUGAUCGGCCACACUGGGACUGAGACACGGCCCAGACUCCUACGGGAGGCAGCAGUAGGGAAUCUUCGGCAAUGGACGGAAGUCUGACCGAGCAACGCCGCGUGAGUGAAGAAGGUUUUCGGAUCGUAAAG